rnacentral:misc_RNA from 1 species
AACGCACAUUGCGCCCCUUGGCAUUCCGAGGGGCAUGCCUGUUCGAGCGUCAUUACACAUACUCAAGCCUCGCUUGGUGUUGGAGGACGCGGCACGCCGCGCCUCCCGAACCCGUCGGCUGGGCACACCCGUCUCUUAGCGUUGUGGACAUACGAUCGCUUCCCGAGACCACCGGGUGCCGCCUCCAGGCCGUGAAACCCCCAAAACCUCAAUGUUGACCUCGGAUCAGGUAGGGAUACCCGCUGAACUUAA